rnacentral:rRNA from 1 species
AUUUUAUGGAGAGUUUGAUCCUGGCUCAGGACGAACGCUGGCGGCGUGCCUAAUACAUGCAAGUCGAGCGCGGGAAACAGGCAGAUCCCUUCGGGGUGACGCCUGUGGAACGAGCGGCGGACGGGUGAGUAACACGUGGGCAACCUGCCUUAGAGACUGGGAUAACCCCGGGAAACCGGGGCUAAUACCGGAUAAUCAAAAGAAUCGCAUGAUUCUUUUGUAAAAGUGGGGACUUGUU